UUUCAAUGUGAGUGGGGACUUGGGUGGUAAUGAUACGGGUUCUAUAAAUCAAAGUUGAAAUUUCCAAAGUUGAAAAUUCCAAUUUUUUUUGUAAUUAAUAUCGUUGAAGUCGCAGUUUUUGCAUUCUUACACGUCUCUCUCUCUCUCUCUCCGUCCAGCGGGUAUCUCACACCACCAAUCACCACCGAUUACAGUCCCUCCGAUAACCACCGAUAUCUUCCGACUUGGAGGUCGAUUCUGAUUUUGAGCUCCUUCCGCGGAUUUUUUUUCCUUUGUGAGUUUCUAGGACUGAUCGAAGGAAGAUUCGCUCAGGUUUUGAGUAUGUAAAACCUGGGAAAAUUUAUGUUCAGCCAUGGGUACAAAACUUAUUAGGGGCAGACAUCUCAAGGAUUCUAAAAUUUGGGUGUUAAGAAAGGCAUGUCCUGAUUUGUUCUGUUACAAAUGGUCCUGGUUAAAAAUUUGAAAACUAGUCAUUAAAUGCUUUUUUGUACUGGUGGUAUUUUGCUUCGACAUUUGUUGAGUGAUCGCAACCUGAAUGGUAUAACCCAUGUGUUCGUUGAUGAAAUUCAUGAGCAAGGCAUGAAUGAAGACUUCCUAUUGAUUGUGUUGAAGGAUCUUCUUCUGUGACGUCAAGAUUUGAGAUUGAUUUUAAUGAGUGCUACUUUAAAUGUUGAGUUAUGUUCCAAUUAUUUUAGAGGAGCACCAACAAUCCACGUUCCGGGUUUUACAUACCCAAUGAAAGCACACUUUCUGGAAGAUGUAUUGGAAAUGACUGGAUAUAAGUUGACUUCUUUCAACCAAAUUGAUGAUUAUGGUCAAGAGAAGAUGUGGAAAACACAAAGACAGCUAGUGCGAUGGAAAAGGAAAAAUCAGAUCACUGCUCUUGUUGAGGUUCUUGUGGUGCCAAAAUGCCACUUCUGCUAUUUCAAGUCACUGCAGAAGCUUCGAUGUAUUUGAAGAAGAUGAAGUAAUAAAGCUGCCGGGAAAUAUGACAAUGCCUCUAUUAAUUACCAGAUUGAGUUCUAUAAAAACGAGGGUUUAACACCAUAUUUCCUAUAACUAGUGGCAGAUGUUCCUGAAGGCUGUGUGAUUAUAAAGAAACACAUUCCCAUCACCAAUUUGUUCACCUGUCUAUGGUUCAAUGAAGUCGAUCGUUUUACUUCCAGGGAUCAGUUGAGCUUCUCCACUGUACAGGACAGAAUAAUGGCCGAAGUUAACUGGAGCGUUGAUAUGUUUAUGGAGUGUAAAAGGCGAAAUUUCGUGAUUCAGCUCUACAGUUUUAAGUGGAGCGAGUACUAUGUGUCCGAGAUUGCCUUGUCGGUAAUAAAUUUAAAUUCUUUUUGCAUUAAAUAAAAUCAUUAUGUCUCCUUUUUGUGGAUAUCUUUGUAUAUAGUAAUUGUUCUCUCUGAAGUUAUCUUUGAUUUUACUAAUUUUUUUUCAUGAAGUUUAUGUUUGGGUCUUUUUGAAACUUCUUGUUCAUUCCUAAUGUCUGUUGGGGUACAUAACAAACAUUUGAAAGCAGCAGCUGCUAAGGUGGCAGCUUUAAAGAGAUGGAAAAGGUACCUUGUGGAAAAAUGUUAUGUUAAUUAUGUUAUUCGUUGGUACUCUUUAGAAGCAUUUAUUUUUUGAGAGUGAAAAAGCAUAUUUGCUUUCAAAAUUAAGCGAAGUACUUUAAAAUUGUAAUUAAUAGAGGCGUGAAGUUUUAAAGUGAACUAUAACUGGACAACUUAACCCUUAGCCCCCCUCCAUUGGAUUUUCCCUUAAUCCACCUCUUGAUCUUUACACUGUUAUGUAGCAUAGCCUAUAUAUAGUUCUUUCUUUCUAAUGUAGUAAAUUUUAGUGUUCCUAACUAACAUAAUUACAACUUUUAUUAUUUGUUUAGCCUCUUUUUGUAUUCAGUUUGGUUUUAAAAAGUCCUCCAAUAUGGUAAUAUAAUUUCAAUGGAUUUAACUUAAUUCCUAUGUUUGAUCGGUCUCUUAUAUAUUUAUUUUUAUUUUUUAUUUGUAUUGGCAAACAAAAUUUGAGAGUUACAUUGAAAAUUGGAGCAAAGUUAGAGAGAUCAAUUGAAAAUCUAUGGCUUCUACAUAGAUUGUUCUCUCCCUCUCUCUGAUUGUGUACAUGUGAAUUUUCAUGCUUGUAGAUGUCACUAGUUGGAUUAAGGUUUGCAUGUCCUAUUGGGUUAAAGUAACUAAAAACAUAUUAGUAGUUUGUGUUAAUAAGUUGCUAUUUAAUAUUCAUCAAGAAAUUAAUUUAUUUUAUGUGAAAAUGGGGAUAGAGCAAUCAAUUUAUUAAUAUUUCAUUUAGAAGCAGGUGCACCUUAAGGUCGAAGGCACUUGAUGAAAGAUCAAGCUCUAUGACUAUAUUGUAAAUGGGUGGUCAUUUUCUUCUCUCAAUUAGGUCAGAAAUUGCUUGGAGAGAUGCAAAAUAUGGU